UGGUUCUGGCAUNGAUGAAGAACGCAGCGAAAUGCGAUAAGUAAUGUGAAUUGCAGAAUUCAGUGAAUCAUCGAAUCUUUGAACGCACAUUGCGCCCCUUGGUAUUCCGAGGGGCAUGCCUGUUCGAGCGUCAUUUAAACUCUCAAGCACCGCUUGGUAUUGGGUGCGGCCCUUAGGGGCCCUCCCGCAACCCGUUGGGCGGGACCGAUCGGCUCCGAGCGUAGCAAGAAUCUUCCCUCGCUACGGAGACCGGCCGGCCCUCGCCCGGGAACCACCCCCAAAGUUUGACCUCGGAUCAGGUAGGGAUACCCGCUGA
rnacentral:misc_RNA from 1 species